UGGGGAAUAUUGGACAAUGGGGGGAACCCUGAUCCAGCAAUGCCGCGUGUGUGAAGAAGGCCUGAGGGUUGUAAAGCACUUUCAGUGGGGAGGAGGAUUUGCAGGUUAAGAGCUGGCAAAUUGGACGUUACCCACAGAAGAAGCACCGGCUAACUCCGUGCCAGCAGCCGCGGUAAUACGGAGGGUGCAAGCGUUAAUCGGAAUUACUGGGCGUAAAGGGUGCGUAGGUGGUUUAUUAAGUUAGGUGUAAAAUUCCUGGGCUUAACCUGGGCUUGAGACUUAAAACUGAUAGACUGGAGUAUAGGAGAGGGUAGUGGAAUUUCCGGUGUAGCGGUGAAAUGCGUAGAGAUCGGAAGGAACACCAGUGGCGAAGGCGGCUACCUGGCCAGAUACUGACACUGAAGCACGAAAGCGUGGGGAGCAAACAGG
rnacentral:rRNA from 1 species